GCUGACAUUGACGGGAAAUUAAGUGAUUGUCUUUAUUUGAACUUUUUUCUUUCUUCCAGGUACGCAGCUCAACAACAUAGAGCCUCAUGCUGUCAUGGACGCCCCCUGUACGGCCGACAAUUCAAGCACAUGUCGAUGGGUUAAACUCCAGCCUCAGCAGGAGGGAGGAACGGUGAGUUUACAGCUUCCAGUUGGUGACGGGUCUUUGGUGACGCCUGUGUGCGGUGGAACUCUUCUAGUCACAAUGCUCUGCUGUGUUGCACUGUCCAGAUACAUGUGGAAACAUCGGAUCAUUUGAACAGUGAUGCUGAACAUGCCUUGUGUUAAACAACCAAAGAUCUUAUAACAAUUUUGUUUGUUUUUUUACAUAAAACUUUAAAAGGACAUUUAAAAAAGUAACACCACACAGACAUUGACAGGCAUGGAUAAAAAACGGCAUGCAUUUUAGAUCAUACACGUGCAUAUGUAUGAUUUUAAAAGAGUAAUAUGUCCAGUACCUUUUUUUUUUUUUUUUUUUGAGGUGACAUAACCAAAAUGGGGGUUAUUUUGUUUUAUCUGUACCAGUUUCAAAAUCGAGGAGGUUAAAAGUUAUAUUCUGUGAAGUAAGACAAUUUAGUUGAGCAGGUUUUUCGAAUAGGAAAAUAUCCCCAGAGCAUACUGUAUGACAAGGUGACACUUCUUUAUUUACUCAGUUUGAAACACUUAACUCAAUGUCUCAGAUCAUAAUCUGCGGAUGUCCUUUAUCCCAACUGCAAACAAUAUUUCAAACUCUGAAUAAUAAAAAGCAAAUAUGUGCUCUA